AAAAAAAAGAAUUUUGUCACAAGCUUACCAGUUGAGCGUUUGUGUAAAGCUAAAGAAAAAGGCUUGUUUUGAAUCUUGUGUGACACGGGAGCAGUUUGUGUUAAAUAAAUGAAUUGCAGUUACUGGAAG